ACGUAUGUCGCAAGCGUUAUCCGGAUUUAUUGGGCGUAAAGCGCGUCUAGGCGGCUUAGUAAGUCUGAUGUGAAAAUGCGGGGCUCAACCCCGUAUUGCGUUGGAAACUGCUAAACUAGAGUACUGGAGAGGUAGGCGGAACUACAAGUGUAGAGGUGAAAUUCGUAGAUAUUUGUAGGAAUGCCGAUGGGGAAGCCAGCCUACUGGACAGAUACUGACGCUAAAGCGCGAAAGCGUGGGUAGCAAACAG
rnacentral:rRNA from 2 species